UGAUACAGUGGUGCCUCGCAAGACGAAAUUAAUUCGUUCCGCGAGUUUCUUCAUCUUGCGAUUUUUUCGUCUUGCGAAGCACGGUAUCGGAAAAGUUUUGGAAAAGCUUCAAAAAUCACCAAAGUCUUCAAAAACCUCAAAAAAGGCUACCACACCGUGUGCUAUGAGUUGCUCCUCGAAGUCAAGUCGCAACUGUAUAAUCGGUGUUAAGAAAAAGGAAACAAACUUGCAAGACGUUUCCGUCUUGCGAAGCAAGCCCAUAGGGAAAUGCGUCUUGCGAAGCAACUCAAAAAGCCAAAAACCCUUUCGUUUUGCGAGUUUUCCGUCUUGCGAGGCAUUCGUCUUGCAAGGCACCACUGUAUUUUACUUUUAAAAGACAACUGAAGGCGGCCCUGUUUAGGGAAGUUUUUAAUGUCUGAUGCUGUAUUGUUUUUAAUAUUCAGUUGGAAGCCGCCCAGAGUGGCUAGGGAAACCCAGCCAGAUGGGCGGGGUAUAAAUAAUAAAUAAUCAUUAUUAUUACUUCUAU